rnacentral:rRNA from 1 species
AUUGAACGCUGGCGGCAUGCCUUACACAUGCAAGUCGAACGGUAACAGGUCUUCGGAUGCUGACGAGUGGCGAACGGGUGAGUAAUACAUCGGAACGUGCCCGAUCGUGGGGGAUAACGCAGCGAAAGCUGUGCUAAUACCGCAUACGAUCUACGGAUGAAAGCAGGGGACCGCAAGGCCUUGCGCGGACGGAGCGGCCGAUGGCAGAUUAGGUAGUUGGUGGGAUAAAAGCUUACCAAGCCGACGAUCUGUAGCUGGUCUGAGAGGACGACCAGCCACACUGGGACUGAGACACGGCCCAGACUCCUACGGGAGGCAGCAGUAGGGAAUAUUGCGCAAUGGGCGAAAGCCUGACGCAGCGACGCCGCGUGGGUGAUGAAGGCCUUCGGGUUGUAAACCCUAGUCCUUGGGAAGAAGGAAGUGACGGUACCCAAGGAGGAAGCCCGGCUAACUACGUGCCAGCAGCCGCGGUAAGUGAGUAGUACA